rnacentral:rRNA from 1 species
UACGAAGGGGGCUAGCGUUGCUGGGAAUCACUGGGCGUAAAGGGUGCGUAGGCGGGUCUUUAAGUCAGGGGGGAAAUCCUGGAGCUCAACUCCAGAACUGCCUUUGAUACUGAGGAUCUUGAGUUCGGGAGAGGUGAGUGGAACUGCGAGUGUAGAGGUGAAAUUCGUAGAUAUUCGCAAGAACACCAGUGGCGAAGGCGGCUCACUGGCCCGAUACUGACGCUGAGGCACGGAAGCGUGGGGAGCAAACAGG